AGGGCUGAAACGAUUCAUCGAGUAACUCGAGUAACUCGAUUACAAAAAAUCCUCGAGGAAAUUUAUCUGCCUCGAAGCUUCGCUAAAUUUAUUGUAUUGUAAUAAGCAAUGCUGUUAAAUACGCAGCACACUGGUCUAGCCGGAGGGUUUUUGUGUUGCACAACGCUACCACUUCCGUUAGCGCCUGGAGCACAUGUGCUAAGUUUGUAGCUAUGGAGGGAACCGGAGAAUGCUCAGAAGGAGAACCCCGAAAGCGAAAAAAUGUCAAAAGUUUGGGAACAUUUUAGGCUAAACAGAAAGGACAACACAGCGCAAUGCAUCCACUGCAAAGCAGAAUUGGCGUACCACAACAGCACGACAUCAAUGUUGCAGCAUCUGAAGAGAAAACACCCGCUACAUGCAUCCAACUCGUACACGGUUGCCAACAGUGAACCGAAGAGUCAUACGUUGGACAGCUUUGUUCAAAGGGUUCCAGGAUGUUCGGUUGUUCAAGCAGCUGAGUUCACAAACAGCAUUUUAAAUAUGAUCAUCACAGACAUGCGACCGCUGUAUUCUCUGGUUUGCCUUAACUUUUCUAUUUAAAGCUAAUGAAUAUUUUUUUACUCUUUUGUGUUAGCACUGAAAAAAGCAAGGAAUUUGUUGCACCUUAGACUUAAAAUAUAUUGUAUAAAAUGCAGUAUUUACUAUUUUGUCUAAACUUGUUUUA